AGUGAACGCUGGCGGUAGGCCUAACGCAUGCAAGUCGAACGGCAGCACAGUAAGAGCUUGCUCUUACGGGUGGCGAGUGGCGGACGGGUGAGGAAUACAUCGGAAUCUACUUUUUCGUGGGGGAUAACGUAGGGAAACUUACGCUAAUACCGCAUACGACCUACGGGUGAAAGCAGGGGAUCUUCGGACCUUGCGCGAUUGAAUGAGCCGAUGUCGGAUUAGCUAGUUGGCGGGGUAAAGGCCCACCAAGGCGACGAUCCGUAGCUGGUCUGAGAGGAUGAUCAGCCACACUGGAACUGAGACACGGUCCAGACUCCUACGGGAGGCAGCAGUGGGGAAUAUUGGACAAUGGGCGCAAGCCUGAUCCAGCCAUAUCGCGUGGGUGAAGAAGGCCUUCGGGUUGUAAAGCCCUUUUGUUGGGAAAGAAAAGCAGCAGGUUAAUACCCCGCUGUUCUGACGGUACCCAAAGAAUAAGCACCGGCUAACUUCGUG
rnacentral:rRNA from 1 species